rnacentral:rRNA from 1 species
AUUGAACGCUGGCGGCAGGCCUAACACAUGCAAGUCGAACGAGUGGCGGACGGGUGAGUAAUGUCUGGGAAACUGCCCGAUGGAGGGGGAUAACUACUGGAAACGGUAGCUAAUAACGCAUACCAUCGGAUGUGCCCAGAUGGGAUUAGCUAGUAGGUGGGGUAACGGCUCACCAAGGCGACGAUCCCUAGCUUGUCUGAGAGGAUGACCAGCCACACUUGAUCUUAGACACGGUCCCGGCUCCUCCGGGAGGCCGCAGUGGGGACUAUUGCACAAUGGGCGCAAGCCUGAUGCAGCCAUGCCGCGUGUAUGAAGAAGGCCUUCGGGUUGUAAAGUACUUUCGGCGAGGAGGCGUUACUCGCAGAAGAAUCACCGGCUAACUCCGUGCCAGCAGCCGCGGUAAUUC